AUGCAAGUCGAACGGGAAAUUUGUAUAGAGAGCUUGCUCAAAGUACUUAUUUCUAGUGGCGAACGGGUGAGUAACACGUGGGUAACCUGCCUUUCAGUUGGGGAUAACUAGAGGAAACUUUAGCUAAUACCGAAUAACUGUUAAGACGGCAUCGUCUAAACAUAAAAGGGGCUUUUGCCCCGCUGAUAGAUGGACUCGCGACGCAUUAGGUAGUUGGUGAGAUAACAGCUCACCAAGCCAAGGAUGCGUAGCCGACCUGAGAGGGUGAUCGGCCACAAUGGGACUGAGACACGGCCCAUACUCCUACGGGAGGCAGCAGUAGGGAGUUUUCGGCAAUGGGGGGAACCCUGACCGAGCAACGCCGCGUGAACGAAGAAGGUCUUCGGAUUGUAAAGUUCUGUUGUAGGGAAUAAAGGUCGGAAGAAGAGAAUGUUUCCGAUUUGAAGGUACCCUGCCAGAAAGCCACGGCUAACUACGUGCCAGCAGCCGCGGUAAUACGUAGGUGGCCAGCGUUAUCCGGAAUUAUUGGGCGUAAAGAGUGAGCAGGCGGCCUUUUAAGUCUGAAGUCAAAUGCAGUGGCUCAACCACUGUCCGCUUUGGAAACUGAGAGGCUAGAGUACGAGAGAGGUAUAUGGAAUUCCAUGUGGAGCGGUGAAAUGCGUAGAUAUAUGGAGGAACACCAGUGGCGAAGGCGAUAUACUGGAUCGAUACUGACGCUCAGUCACGAAAGCGUGGGUAGCAAUAGGAUUAGAUACCCUAGUAGUCCACGCCGUAACGCUGAGAACUAAGUGUUGGGGUGAAACCCAGCGCUGAAGCUAACGCAUUAAGUUCUCCGCCUGAGGAGUACGGUCGCAAGACUGAAACUUAAAGGAAUUGACGGGGGCCCGCACAAGCAGUGGAGCAUGUGGUUUAAUUCGAUGCUACGCGAAGAACCUUACCAGGGCUUGACAUAGUUCUAAGACUCUAGAAAUAGAGGGAUAUACAGAACAUACAGGUGGUGCAUGGUUGUCGUCAGCUCGUGUCGUGAGAUGUUAGGUUAAGUCCUCCAACGAGCGCAACCCUUGUCCUUAGUUACCAUCAUUAAGUUGGGGACUUUAAGGAGACUGCCGGUGUAAGCCGGAGGAAGGUGGGGAUGACGUCAAAUCAUCAUGCCCUUUAUGUCCUGGGCGACACACGUGCUACAAUGGUCGGUACAAAGAGCUGCAAUGCCGCGAGGCUGAGCGAAUCUCAUAAAGCCGAUCUCAGUUCGGAUUGGAGUCUGCAACUCGACUCCAUGAAGUCGGAAUUGCUAGUAAUCGUGAUCAGC
rnacentral:rRNA from 1 species